CAUUUAUUUAUUUACUUCCUCUACAGUUUUCCUGACUGCUACAUUUCAUAAGAAGGGAUUGUUUAUGAGGGUCAAGGAGCUGGAGGCCUGGGGAGGAGCUGGUGUUUCUGUUCAAGUUUGAGGGUCCUGGAGCUGGAGCCCAGGGGAGGAGCCAGUGCUGCCACUGAUGUCUUAGGGUCGUGGAGCUGAAGAUCCCAGAGGAGCCGGUGCUGCUAUUCUAGCUUGAGUUUCGUGGAGCUGGAGACCCAGGGAGAAGAUGGUGCUGCUGUUCUAAUUUAAGGAUCGUGAAACAGAAGACCCAGAAAGGAGCUGGUGCUGCCGCUGCUCAGAUCUGAGGGUGUUGGAGCUGGAGCCUGGGGGUGGAGCCAUUGCUGCCAUUGAAGUGUGAGAGUCAUUGAGCUGGAAGUCCAGGAAGCAGCUGGUGCUGCUGUUCUAGUUUGAGGGUUGUGGAGUGCAGACCCAGGCAGGAGCAACAUUGCUGUAGUUCGAGGGUCAGAAAGCUGGCGACCCAGGGAGGAGAGGUCUUGUUCUAGUUUGAUUUUCGUGGAGCUGCAGACCCAGGCAGGAGCAAUGUUGCUGUAGUUCGAGGGUCCGGUAGCUGGCAACCCGGGGAGGAGAAGUCUUGUUCGAGUUUGAGGGUCGUGGAGCUGCCGACCCAGGGAGGAGCAAUUUGGUUGUAAUUUGAGGGUCCAGAAGCUGGAGACCCAGGGAGGAGAGAGAUCUUGUUCUGGUCUGAGGGUUGUGGAGCCACAGACCCAGGGAGGAGCAAUUUUGUUGUAAUUUGAGGGUCAGGAAGCUGGCGACCCAGGGAGGAGAGGUCUUGUUCUGGUCUGAGGGUCGUGGAGCUGCAGACCCAGGGAGGAGCAAUUUUGUUGUAAUUCAAGGGUCCGGUAGCUGGCAACCCAGGGAAGAGAAGUGUUGUUGGAGUUUGAGGGUCGUGGAGCUGCCGACCCAGGGAGGAGCAGUUUGGUUGUAAUUCGAGGGUCAGGAAGCUGGCGACCCAGGGGAGGAGAGGUCUUCUUCUGGUCUGAGGGUCGUGGAGCUGCAGACCCAGGGAGGAGCAAUGUUGUUGUAAUUCGAGGGUCUGGAAGCUGGUGACCCAGGGAGGAGAGGUCUUGUUCUGGUCUGAGGGUCCUGGAGCUACAGACCCAGGGAGGAGCAAUGUUGUUGUAAUUUGAGGGUUCGGUAGCUGGCACCCUGGGGAGGAGAAGUCUUGUUCUAGUUUGAGGGUGGUGGAGCUGCAGAGCCAGGGAGGAGCAGUGUUGUUGUAGUUUGAGGGUCAUGGAGGUACAGACCCAGGGAGGAGCCGUGUUGUUUUGAGUGUCGUGGAGCCGGAGAUCCACGGAGGAGCUGG
rnacentral:lncRNA from 10 species